rnacentral:rRNA from 1 species
AGGGAAUCUUGCACAAUGGGCGAAAGCCUGAUGCAGCGACACCGCGUGGGGGAUGAAGGGCUUCGGCUUGUAAACCCCUUUCAUGAGGGAAGAACACUGACCUAACCUCAGGAAGAAGCACCGGCUAACUCCGUGCCAGCAGCUGCGGUAAUACGGAGAGUGCGAACGUUGUUCGGAUUCACUGGGCGUAAAGGGCACGUAGGCGGCUCGGCAAAUCGGUCGUGGAAUCCCAACGCUUACCGUUGGAACGGCGGCUGAAAAUACCGGGCUAGAGGGCGUGAGGGGUCACUGGAACUCCCGGUGAAGCGGUGAAAUGCGUAGAUAUCGGGAGGAACGCCGGAGGCGAAAGCGAGUGACAGGCGCGUUCCUGACGCUGAGGCGCGAAAGCUAGGGGAGCAAA